rnacentral:lncRNA from 1 species
AACCCAAUCAGAAAAUGUCGGAUUGGUAAUGGAAAGAACAUCAUCAAUAUAUUUGAAAGUGAAAUUAAAUAAUCUAUGGAUAUAGGAAGAUGUGGUGUGAGUGCCAAUGAGACAACUCUCCAUCCAAAUAACAAUUUAAAAAAGUAAACCAUUAUAGGUCAAUGUACGGCCUUCAACAUGGAGCCUUGGCUCACACCGAACAACAAGCUAUAAAGGGCCCCAAAAUAACUAGUGUAAAACCAUUCAAACGGGAAAACCAACGGUCUAAUCUAUAUGAAAAAA